AUGGCAGAAUGCUUCAAUAAGGUGCUCAAGGGUGUACGUGCAUUACCCGUGACGGCAAUAGUUCAAUACACAUUUGACAAGAUGAAUGAAUACUUUUUGAAGCACUCAAUGGAGACUGAUAAGCAGAUUGCUGGUGAGAACAAGGAUAAGCACAAGUACAAUUUCCCACCAAAGGUUGAAGAAUGGUUGGAAUUUCAAUCACGAAAGGCAGACUCCGAUGAAGCUGUUCUAUAUGACGACAACGAGUGGAAGUAUGAGGUGAAAGAGCCCGGAGGAACCACAAAUGAUGGCCGCCAACACGGAGGCCGGGCUUUCAAGGUCUCCCUAACACGAUGUGAUUGCAGCUGCAUGAGGCCGUCUUUGCUUCAUCUCCCAUGCUCGCACUUGUUAAAUGCAUCCCGGGUUAGGAAUGUGGACGUCAAUCACCCUCUAACCGUGAGGGAGUCCGAGUUCUCAAUCAUGACGGUAAAGAAGACAUGGACUCCAUGGUUCCAGCCAUACUUGGACCAAUCACAAUGGCCGGAGUAUCAUGGAGUUCAACUAUGGCCGGACCCGGAAUUGAAGGUCGUUAGCCGGGGAAGACGUAAUACUAAGCGUCUUAGACGUGACAUGGACGGAUGGGGCCGUGGUGGCGGUGGAGAAUACGGCACCGGCCAAUUCCAAGAGCCUCGUGAGGAAUCCCAUUGUGGGGGCUGCAGUAAUGAGGGACACAACACAAGAACUUGUCCCAAACCAAGAAAGAGAUCAAAGAAAAAUGGUUCAAGCACAAGCCAAGCAAAUGAUAGCCAACCAAGUGAACCAAGGGGUAGCCAACCAAGUCAAACAAGUGCUGGAGUGCCAAACCACUCAAAUCAAACAAGUCAACGAGGAACUAGGCAACAAAGAGGGAGUCAACUGUUGGGGAAUGUAGUAAUUUCAAAAUUUUCCUACGCACACGCAAGAUCAUGGUGA
rnacentral:rRNA from 1 species